rnacentral:rRNA from 2 species
UACGAAGGGGGCUAGCGUUGUUCGGAAUUACUGGGCGUAAAGCGCACGUAGGCGGAUUGGUCAGUUAGGGGUGAAAUCCCGGGGCUCAACCCCGGAACUGCCUUUAAUACUGCCAAUCUAGAGUCCGAGAGAGGUGAGUGGAAUUCCGAGUGUAGAGGUGAAAUUCGUAGAUAUUCGGAGGAACACCAGUGGCGAAGGCGGCUCACUGGCUCGGUACUGACGCUGAGGUGCGAAAGCGUGGGGAGCAAACAGG